UACNNUGCAAGUCGAACGAUGAACCAGGUGCUUGCACUUGGGGAUUAGUGGCGAACGGGUGAGUAACACGUGAGCAACCUGCCCCUCACUCUGGGAUAAGCGCUGGAAACGGCGUCUAAUACUGGAUACGAGUCGCAACCGCAUGGUUAGUGACUGGAAAGAUUUUUUGGUGGGGGAUGGGCUCGCGGCCUAUCAGCUUGUUGGUGAGGUAAUGGCUCACCAAGGCGUCGACGGGUAGCCGGCCUGAGAGGGUGACCGGCCACACUGGGACUGAGACACGGCCCAGACUCCUACGGGAGGCAGCAGUGGGGAAUAUUGCACAAUGGGCGGAAGCCUGAUGCAGCAACGCCGCGUGAGGGAUGACGGCCUUCGGGUUGUAAACCUCUUUUAGCAGGGAAGAAGCGUGAGUGACGGUACCUGCAGAAAAAGCGCCGGCUAACUACGUGCCAGAG
rnacentral:rRNA from 1 species